AUAUUUUCAAGUUUUGAAGUCGGGAGCCUGCCCGUAGAACAUAGGCAUAUAUUUUCAAGUUUGGAAAUUGGGAGCCCGCCCGUAUAGCAGAGGCAUAUAUUUCUCAAAGUUUUGAAGUCGAGAGCCCGCCCGUAGAACAAAGGCACAUAUUUUUCAAGUUUUGAAAUCGGGAGCCCACCCGUAGAACAGAGGAAUACAUUCAAUUUUAGCAGUCUGAAGGAAAGGAAAAACAUAUCAGUUGACAAUUUAAAGUGGCAACAAUAGAUUUCGCCAAGAGGAUACAAAACAUUAAGGCAACAAGAAAUACAAGGUCAAGUUUAAAGAAUCUAGAUAGGACUUUUGCAAUUCGUAGAUCAUAGCUUAGGCUAGCUUCUUUUAUUUUAACAUGGUGUAAUAAGGGAGGUCAGCAAGCAGUAACAACAACAACAACAGUUAAAUCACAGCUCCUGGUAGUCCCAGCUACCAGACAUUCCUCAACUACACUGACCUGAUUCCUUUUUAGCCAGGGAUAUGUAGGCAACAUCAGAAGCAGGGUGCGGUCAAAUCUUUCAAAAAUACUUCACACGAAGUAUUUGAACGGGCAAAAAUCACUCGAAUCUGCUCACUUAUCUUUGAACGAAAACUUUUCGUGUUCCUUAGCAAAAAGAAGCAGCUGUGAGCACGUGAUUUUUACCCUAUAUGAAUUACUCCCAGAAAUUCAAAAUGAUCUCUUUCAUUAUUUUAUAAUAUUGUGGAUUUUUAUUAUAUUUAGUGUUAAUUUUUGCAUUUUUAUUUGUGUAUUUUAAUUAAUAAAAAAUACCAAAAUACUUGGCAUUUGCAUUUAGGAUUUAAUUUCACAUUUUAGAGUUAAUUAGUAGUUAAGUUACUACAAAAAAUAAAGAAACAACAAAAAUGAUUCUUUGCAUUUCUACUUUAAAUUUGCCUUAAAUUUGCUUUUAAAUUAGGAAUUAAUUAGUAUAAUUUUAGAGUUAGGUUGCGUUCUUAUUUUUAAUCUUGCAUUUAAUAAAAUUAUGAAAAUUAAAUAAAAAGAGAGUAAAUAAGAACAAAGAAGAAAAGAGAACAAGUGAAAAAAAAUUAAAAGAAAGAUUGGUCUUAAUAAAAACAACAUCCAAGUCUUGGGCCAAAUAUGCAUCAGCCCAAGUUAAAAUACCCCAAAAACCCAUUGCAGACCAGGCCCAAAUCCCAUCCCAACCUGUCCUGCCCCCUUCGAGUGAAACGGCGUCGUUUUGGUCUCACUAGAUCCUGGUCGUCGAGGUAAUCUGAUCUAACGACCCUAAACCAUGGUUCACUAAAAUAUAAAAUGGUCAGACAAGCCCCCCACCCCCCAAAACCUUUGUCUUCUUCACCUAAACGAGAAACGUAACGCCGCCCUCCUCCGCCUGAAACUGCCACCGGAUAUCUCCUCACGGCGGCAGCCGAUCUCCAUCUCCAACCAAAAAAACACACCCCUGAAUCGUCUUCUUCUCCUCAUUUCAACCACUCUCUUCCCUCAAAACCUAGCCCAUCGUCUCGAAUUUCUAUUCGAAAUUCCAUCCAAAACACAAACUCGUCCAAACUUCACGAAAUUUACACCAUAUGUUCUUCCCAAGGCCCUCCUUCCAAACCUCUGGCUAGCUUUUUUUAAAUCCUCGAAUUUCAAAUUAAAAUUCGGCCCAAAAACCUAAGUUCCCCAAACCUCACCAUUCACACCACAUGGACUCCUUACCUCCCUCAAGAUGAAUCCACCGUUAGUGGCGUUCGAAUAUAACUGGAGUUGUUCAAAUGUUGAAUCGAGAGGCAUUAGAACCUUGAGUCAUAAUAGUGGGUUUUGUCCAAUUUUGUUUCUUUUCUUCUUCUCUCAUUGCUAUUUUGAAUUAAUUCCAUGAUUGUACUUCAUGAUUAGUUGAUAACAUAAGCCGGUUUUUCAAUUUCGUCAUUAGUUUAGGUAUUGUUUUAUUCAAGUUCUCUAAGUUUAGUUUUUAUUGUUUAUUUCUUAUUUGAAUUGAUUUUGUUCUCGUAGUUUUUUAACCUCUAGGUUAAUUUUCAUUUUUGGCUAUUCAUGUUCUGAUUUUUGUGUUCUGAGUUUGUGUUUGACUUUGAUUGUUUGAAUAAGUCAUCAAAUUUGGUGCUUUUUGAUCCCCAUUGCUAUGGGGAACAAAUGACGAAAUGCAAUCGAUUCCUCCAUUUAAGUGGUUCUCGCUUCUCCUUGUUCCUGUUCCUAACUCCUCCCCGNNNNNNNNNNNNNNNNNNNNNNNNNNNNNNNNNNNNNNNNNNNNNNNNNNNNNNNNNNNNNNNNNNNNNNNNNNNNNNNNNNNNNNNNNNNNNNNNNNNNNNNNNNNNNNNNNNNNNNNNNNNNNNNNNNNNNNNNNNNNNNNNNNNNNNNNNNNNNNNNNNNNNNNNNNNNNNNNNNNNNNNNNNNNNNNNNNNNNNNNNNNNNNNNNNNNNNNNNNNNNNNNNNNNNNNNNNNNNNNNNNNNNNNNNNNNNNNNNNNNNNNNNNNNNNNNNNNNNNNNNNNNNNNNNNNNNNNNNNNNNNNNNNNNNUCCUCCCCGGGUAGUUCCCAAUGUUUGGCACUUUCCAUACUUCAUGGGUGCAACAUCAACAAAUUCGCUCAUGAUCAAGUUACAACCUAAGAUCUAUGCCCAUAUUAUGUUAAAGAUUCUAAUUUUUUUUGAUUUCUGAUUUUAGCUUGAUUAUUAGUUUUGAUUUUAGGUAUUAAUUUGAGUUCCUAGCUUAGAUAAGUCGAAAAUGGCUUGAGAUACAUGUGUUUGAGUUGUUGGAAGCUUCAGAAGCUGUUUUGGUUUAAUUUCGAGUUUUAAUUUGGUUUCAAGUAAUUUCCUUUGGCUUCUACUGGUUUUAUUCAUCUCUCAUUAAUUUCUGGGCUUUGUUGGAGCAUUUCUGGGUUGAGUUCAAGUUUAUUAUUGCUUGCUAAAUUCUAGUUGUUGUUACUGGUGCUGACUCCUUUCCUCCUUUUUAUUUGAAUCAUAUUUCAGGCACACAUUUCGAAUUUAGCUUGAUGUAGCUUUGGAGUUGGAAAUGAAAUAAAAUGCUCGCUCAGUUGCUCUUUGAAUUGUGCCUGUUUGGACUAUUAUGAAUUAAUAGUUGAAUUGGUGUUAGAUGUACUUGUUCAAUGUAGUUUUAAUUCUGAUUUGUAUGUAGUAUAAUUAGGACUAUUUAAGACUAUUAAAUUUGUGGUAUUCAUUCAAUGGUGGUGUAGAUUAGCUUAAUAUCCUAUUUAGUUAGAUUUUGUUUUGUUAAGGAGAAUCAUGAACGUGGAAAUUGACUUAGAGAUCCUAAAACUUCAUUUAUAAAUGAUAUCUGGCUAUCUAGACUGUUUAGGAAAUUAGUAGUCCGUAAUUAAUUCAUAUCCAAUUGGAAAUUAAAGUCAGAAUAAGUUGUAGGAUGAAAUUGAAUCCAAAACAGAUUGUAAGUUGAUAUUAGUAUAAAUGCAGGCAGCAGUAUGAAACGGAUUUACAUUUGCUGAUUUAGUGGUUAAAAAUAGAAUCUUAUUUAGAUUGCAGGUCCAUAAGUGUAAAUUCUCGGUGUGAACUGUUUUCGCAUGAUUUGGGUGAAAUUUUGAUCCAUUUAAUCGUUGCAAAUGUUAAAAUGGCAAAUUGAUAUACUCUAGUUCCUCAUAAAUAAUCAUCUAGAUCAAUAAGAUAGAAAUCAAGGAAAAUACAUAAGUAAUUUGAGUGCUGAAUUGCAUGGUCAAUCGGAAUUACGGCUAGAGGUUGUCUAGGCCGUAUACUGAAUCUGAAACUAACUUCCUUAAUUCAUGCCUACUGUUUCAUGUAUUGGUCAAAUUUUAUUAUAAGGUGUUAUUUUCAAUUUAUUUUUAAAAAAAAAUCCUGCUGAAUUAAUUUUACUAGCUCAAUUAACCUCAGUUAUGAGUUCAGUUUAUUUUCAGUUUGGGCCUUUUGAACAGGCCCACCUUCAUUCAAGCUUACUAAAAUUCUCUAGUUUGAAUUUGAGCUUAAAUGCCUUAAUUCAUAGUUUAAAUGUAAAUUUGGGCCUUCGAGUUAGGUAGCGAAUUUGAGUUAAGAGGGUCACGCUUUUCUUUGAAUCCGGACUUGAAUUUGAGGCUCCAAUUCUAAUAAUAUUAAUUAACCAAGCCCGUUUAGAGACAAAUUGAAUAGAAAAUCGUAGUUUGCUUUAGGUUGGCCUUUAAAUAAUAAAUGAGGUGCGCCUCACCAAAUAAAAAAUGUAUAAAUUGCGUAGCCCUCUUAAAUGCUUGUAUUAAAAAUACUUAGAAUUUGGGGCGUGCCAUUUGGCGAAUUUCACGGCCUCCCGCAAAUCUAAUUGCACGUUAGUCGCUUUAGGCACAUUUUUAAAUAAUCUUACCUUCCUAAAAUACGGGUGUGCUUUUUAUACGACCCAAAUCCAAAUCCCAAAAUUUUCAAUAAAAAUGUGUCGAUGAUCUGGGUGCAUUUCAUGUGGCGUGAUCCAAAAAUAUGUUUUUAAACAACGUUCACUUUCUUAAAAAUUUAAUUAAAGCGGUAAAUAAUAUUUAAAAUUGCAUUAUAUGAUGAACAUGUAUAAAAAAUUAGAUUUUAGCCAUUCAUAAUAGUUUAAGCGACCGUGCUAGAACCACGGGAUCCGGGGGUGCCUAACACCUUCCCCCGGGUCAACAGAAUUCCUUACGUAGAAUAUUGGUUCGCAGACUCCAAUUGGGAAGUCAAAAAUUUUCCUCGAUUCAGGAUUCAAAAUAAAUUGGUGACUUGGGACACCAAAAACCAAACUCAUCCCAAGUGGCGACUCUGAUUGAAUAAAUAAUCCCGAUUCGAAUGGUGUCACUUAAAAUGGAAAUACUCUCUUAUACACUAUCCCCCGAGGUGGGUAUGAAAAAAGGAGGUGUGACACCGGGUCCCAGCAUGUGACCAAUGCCCUUAUGAUGUCCCCCCGAGGCAUAAUUUCCAACAAACCGAUGAGCCCUUUCAAAUAUUUUUUGACUUCAUCUUGCCCUUCUCCUCCUAGAUCUUUCCACCACAGACGCAACUCUAGAGAGAUUUUAUUCAUGAUUGAGAAUAGUUCAUUUUGAACAAUGCUCAUCCUGCAUAUUUAUUAUGGUUAUUUAUCACUUAUUUGACCUAAAAGGGAAAAAUGACACUAUUUUAUUCAAAUUUCUAAUUUAAAACAAACAACCGGUUUUGAAGAUACGACCUUUUAGUCCUUCGGGAAGAAGAACUUAAGGUUUUUCCCGCUAACCAUUGAAAAUGCCCCAAAGUGAUUGUUCUUGCAAAAACAGCCUUUCCGCGUCCUUUUGAGGACAUUCGGCUUAUUUUAGACAAUAAUGGCCUCACCUAACUUAUUCAUAUGAUAAAAUUAAAAUUUUUAUUGUUUUGGGAUACUUUUGCAAAAGGGGAAGUUGAACCCGAUGUGGGUUGCCUACGUAUCCCACACCAUGUGAGAAUCAAACUGCCAUAGCUCGGGCAAAUAAAACAAACUAUUUUUGAAAACAAGACUCUUUUUUAUAUAUUAUUUUCAGUGGAAAAUAAAAGAAACUAUUUUGAAAAUAAAACUCUUUUAGUUUUUCUUUUUCACUGGCAAAUAAAACAAACUAUUUUGAAAAUAAAACACUUUUCUUUUUUCAUUUUUCUCGAAAAUCUGGCAGAGUUUCGGCACUAUUUGGAUAUUGAUUUUAAAAUAAAUAGGUAAUUAACUCUCUACACUGUUAUUUCUCUGUUUUUCUCUCUUUUCUCAAUUUUCCAAUAUUCUAAAAAUCAGCCAGCAUGCAAGUCCAAAGCAAAUAAAUGCACAAGUAGCACGUAAGAUGCAUCAGGAUGGUCUUUUCAUUUCAGGUUACCUGCCUUAGAUGGACCCUACCCUGUGUUGAGUCUUUUCAUUUCAUGUUACCUGUCUUAGACGGACCCAACCCCUGUGUUGAGUUCCCUAAGUCAUAUGCACGUAAGGCAAAUAAGCGUUCCUACUAGGGAUCUGGCAUGAAUUCAAGUUAUUCUAGGUUCAAAACCUGGGUAUAUGUUCUAAACUAUGUACCCAAGCGGACGACUCGAGUCGAUAAGAAGGCUUAACCAGUGAGCACAUCCCCGGAGAUGAGAACAGAAGGGUCUCGUCACAGUUUAUAUACAUUCCAACUAAUAUCAAAGCGGUAAAGCAUUUAGCAUGAAAAAUGUAGGAAAAUCAGAUAAAGUCAUAUAUAACAUUUAUUCUAAGUUCAAAUUCUUAAACCCUGAAUCGAAGUUCCGAGUUUGUAUCCCCAUCAGAGUCGCCAGAGCUGUCACACCACCUUUUUCCUACACCCCGAAAGGGUAUAAAGGAGUUUUUUCAAUUAAAGGACAAUCGGAACAAAAUUUAUUAUUAAAAAUUCAGAGUCACCACUUGGGAGAUUAAUGGUGUCCCAAGUAACCAGUUGAAUCCCGAAUCGAGGAAAUUAUUGACUCUGUUUAUCAGUCCGCGAACCAUAAAUCUAAGUAAGAAAUUCUGUUAACCCGAGAGAAGGUGUUAGGCAUUCCGGGGUUCCGUGGUUCUAGCACAGUCGCUCAACUGUCAUAUUUGGCUUAUUUAUCUGAUUUAAAACAUGUUUUAAACUAUGCACUUUGUAACUUUAAACUGCUUUUAUUAUUUUAAAGAGAAUUACAACGUUGUUAAAACACGUCUCAAACCACGUCACAUAAAUGCACCCGUGGUUUUUGACACAUUCAAACUUCGCUGGGAUUUGAACUUGGAUCACAUAAAUGUGCACCCGAGUUUAGGAAGGUAAUAUAACUAAAUGUCGGGCCAAAAGAAACUAACGUAUUAUUAACUUUGCGGGAAGCUAUAAAAUUCACUAAAUGGCGCGUUGCGAGGGUUAAAUAUUUUUCAUAGAAACAGUUAAGAGGGCCACGCUAUUCCUGCAUUUUAUUUGGCGUGGCGCAUCUCGUUUUUAUUUUUAAGGCCAUCUUAAAAGAAUUACGAUUUUCUAUUAAGAUUGUCUCUAAAAACCUAUGGAUUAAUCGUUAUGUAAAGUUCUAAAUAUGCUCAGGCCCAAACUUAAACAAAGGGAAUUUAUAUUGCUAAAAAAACCUCUUAAGUCGAAUCUGUUGCCUCGAAUUGAAGGCCCUCGCUAAUGUUGCAAACUGAAACCCAAACAAAUAGAAUUCCAAGCCCUUAGCAUUUCAGGCUUUAAAUUUAGCUCAUACAAGAGGCGGUUUAGCCUUGGGCUUCAACACAAGCCCAAUUCGGAGCUACAAAAUGCACUGGUCCAGCUGGGACUUCUUAUUAAAUACCAGGCUCGAUAUUCGGCCUAGUUUUACAGUCCAAGCAAUACGUGUAAGUCUAGGUGAAAUCAACGUAAGUGUAGAAGUAUGUGAUUUACCAUUUGAUCAUCUAAUUUGGUACUUUGAACAUUGACUAUCCGUUACUCCAAUUUACUAGUUAGCUACCUUUAAAUUUCAAUUUAAAUGGACAUAUCAACAAUGACAACCUAUGGGAUACAUGAUUUUAUUUUUAUUAGUCCUAUCACCUGUUAACUGGUAGAAAUGAAAACAGUGUAAACUAACCAAUCCAUUCUACCAUCUAAUUUAAAAUUUAGACAAAACUUUAUACUAGAAUCCGGAAUCAACUAGUAAUGAGUGUAGGAGUAAAAAAUUAUUCAAUACAUUAGAUCAAAUGUUCAAAUUAUCAUGAACUCAUAGAAUUGUACUUAAACCACUAGCGUUCGAAACUAAAUAGCAAUAUGUCACAGUCCAUAGUUCACAAUUAAUUAACAUGAAUACUUAGGCAUAUCAAAGAGCUCACAUAGUACAAAACAAAACAGAAUCUAUAAGGAAUUCAACAUCAACUUCAUAUCAUCUCGUUUUCAACUUGAGAGAUACAUUGGAUCGAAUUCAAAAAGUGUACCUGGAAGUAGAAUGAAAUGUAAGCGAAGAGAGGAAUCAGCAACAACAAGCAACAGUCACAAACCAGAGUUUCAACCCAAAACAAUGUCACAGCAACCAAGAAUGAUUUGCAUAGGAAUAAACAACAAUAAACCACUGAAAACAGAUCAACCUAAGCCCAAGCAAACUCGAAAUUAUCCAGAAUCCUUCUGAAUUUGAACUAAUGAAAUCUGGAAGCACUAAAACUAUUUUUGGACCUUCUAUGAACUUGAGAGUUUGAUCUAAAGCUAAAACUCAAAUUUAAUUUAAGAAAAAAACUCGAAUAAAGUAGUAUUUUUGGAGUUUUUUUCUAUUUUUUCCGGAUUGUUUUGAGGAACUAAGAUCUAAGAUGAGUUUCCUAGCUCUAAAAUUUAGAUCUGGUUUUUGGAUUUGAUAUUCAAAAUUUUCAGAUUGCCAAUGUUGCAGAAGGCUUUUUGGGAGAAAUUUUUCAGAUAUGAACUUUUUGGGGGAAUUUUCAGGCGCUAAACCUAUGUAACAAGGCAAUAGGCAUGCUUUUUUAUAGGUAAAGUCUAAGGCUGCCUUCAGAUUGCUAUUUACACCUUUAGUCCCUCUUUUAUUUUUAGAUUUUAACUGUUUAGUCCUUUAUUUGUUAGCUUGUUGCUCGAUUCACAUUAUUAAGUUCUUCAAAC
rnacentral:lncRNA from 1 species